rnacentral:lncRNA from 1 species
AAUUUUUGGAAAUAAUUCAUAGUGAUUCCUUAUGAGGAAAAUAUCUCUCCUUUAGUUAGGGAUUGGUCAUGGAAAGCUUAUGUUCAAGAGGAUUUGAUGUUCUUGGAAGAUUUGAGGUGAUGGAAAGCUUAUGUUCAAGAGGAUUUGAUGUUCUUGGAAGAUUUGAUGUUCAAGAGGAUUUAAUGUUCAAGAGGCUAGAUUUUUGUUAUUCUCAAGAUAAAAGUUUUGAGAGGAAAUGG